GGGAACCUUAAAGCAAGAAAUAAAUUAAAAAAAGAAAGAAAAUAACAGGAAAACUGUAUUUACAGCCUUAAGAAAUUUGAAAUAAAACCAAACUCUUUCUGAACACAAAAAAGCCACAAAUAUAAAGAUUUGCCAAAUGAACCAGUACAACCAGUUUAAUGAACAGAAAUUCUUGGGGGGAAAAAAAAACAAACAAAAAAAAACAUGAAACUCGGCUUCCAUUGUGUGAAUAAAAAGUUUGUCAGUCCAAUGCUCCUGCAGACUAACAGUUCUGAUUUUUAGACCACGAGACUUCCGGGAAAGUCAACCUGCCACUGAGGGGAAACUACCAUGUGUUACAGCCUGUUACAGCUUGUCGACAAGAAUGAACCCUGGAGCAAAAUUGACUCGAGUCCAAGAAGUUUGGAGAAUGAAAAUAUUUCAUGACAAAAAAUUCACCACAAGUAUGGACGACAAAAAAAAAAAAAAAGGAGUUAUUACCAUUGACAACAAUGCCAAAAGGUCACUCCUUAAAUAUCUAAACACUAAUUGAAAAUGUUAAGCAGCUGUGGCAACCAGGUGAGAGAACAGAAGGAGGAGGAACACUGCUAACCUGCACUGAGCACAACACCAUGUUAACCAAUUAGGAUUUUGCCCGUUAUUGAGAAAAAAACGUUACUUAUCCUGCUCAAAAUCACAGCCAGCUUUUCAAAUUACAGCUGAAUUUCAACAUCCAAAGUUGAAAACCAGACUUUCCCCAAAAAAUCUUUUCAAUUCUCAGUCAUUUUCUGAAAACAACCAAGAUCACAGCCCUCAAACUCCUGGUCUUGAGGGCCAUGUGUCCUGGAUGUUUUCCAGCAAGGCUGGAAAUACUGGAUCCCACACAGCUACUGAAGGGCGACCAGGUACAAACUGGACAUUUCAUCAGUCAAUUCCAGGGCGACAACAUUUCCAGAAGACUGCUUUGGCCAGUUAUCAAGGUGAUGUAGGCGGACCAUAACUGUUCAGCUGAGCAAGAGGCAGAUCAACCAUAAGCACAUUUUGUGCUCCAGGAUCUACAGCAAUCUGCCUGUUAACAUGUGCUCAAGUCACCUGGUUUCUGAAGAAAACCUGAUUACCACUGAACUAGGAUUUACAACUUCACCACUGAACAAUUAUAGAAUAAUUAAAAAUAAGUUUUGCUGCUCUUAUGAGUGAUUUUUUUUUUCCAGAUUUGUGCUUAUUUUAACUGCUUUUAUUUGUUUUUUGAAAAUGUACUCUUAAAGAUCUUCUUAGAUCAUUUCAGAUUUCCAGUUCACAGAAACCAGAUUAUCUAAGUAGGCUGAUUAAGGACAUGUAAAUGCAGUCAAACCUCCACCAAUGUAGAAAAUGUGAUACAUGAGGAUGUCAGCUCAAUAAAAUAUACUCUUACCCCCUC